UACGAAGGGUGCAAACGUUGCUCGGAAUUAUUGGGCGUAAAGCGCACGUAGGCGGCUUAGCAAGUUGGAUGUGAAAUCCCUCGGCUCAACCAAGGAAGUGCAUCCAAAACUGCUGAGCUUGAAUACUUAAGAGGAUCGCGGAAUUCCCGGUGUAGAGGUGAAAUUCGUAGAUAUGGGGAGGAACACCGGUGGCGAAGGCGGCCACCUGGACGGAUACUGACGCUGAGACGCGAAAGCGUGGGUAGCAAACAGG
rnacentral:rRNA from 1 species